GACGGAGGGGGCUAGCGUUGUUCGGAAUUACUGGGCGUAAAGGGCGCGUAGGCGGAUUAGUAAGUUGGGAGUGAAAGCCCGGGGCUUAACCUCGGAAUAGCUUUCAAAACUGCUAAUCUUGAGUGAAGUAGGGGGUGAUGGAAUUCCUAGUGUAGAGGUGAAAUUCUUAGAUAUUAGGAGGAACACCGGUGGCGAAGGCGGUCACCUGGGCUUCAACUGACGCUGAGGCGCGAAAGCGUGGGGAGCAAACAGG
rnacentral:rRNA from 1 species